rnacentral:rRNA from 1 species
UCAGAACGAACGCUGGCGGCAGGCCUAACACAUGCAAGUCGAACGCUGUAGCAAUACAGAGUGGCAGACGGGUGAGUAACACGUGGGAAUCUUCCUAUCGGUACGGAAUAGCUCAGGGAAACUUGGGGUAAUACCGCAUACGCCCUUCGGGGGAAAGAUUUAUCGCCGAUAGAUGAGCCCGCGUCUGAUUAGCUAGUUGGUGAGGUAAUGGCUCACCAAGGCGACGAUCAGUAGCUGGUCUGAGAGGAUGACCAGCCACACUGGGACUGAGACACGGCCCAGACUCCUACGGGAGGCAGCAGUGGGGAAUAUUGGACAAUGGGCGCAAGCCUGAUCCAGCCAUGCCGCGUGAGUGACGAAGGUCUUCGGAUUGUAAAGCUCUUUUGGCGGGGACGAUAAUGACGGUACCCGCAGAAUAAGCCCCGGCUAACUUCGUGCCAGCAGCCGCGGUAAUACGAAGGGGGCUAGCGUUGUUCGGAAUUACUGGGCGUAAAGCGCACGUAGGCGGAUUUGUAAGUCAGGGGUGAAAUCCCGGGGCUCAACCUCGGAACUGCCUUUGAUACUGCAAGUCUCGAGUCCGAUAGAGGUGAGUGGAAUUCCUAGUGUAGAGGUGAAAUUCGUAGAUAUUAGGAAGAACACCAGUGGCGAAGGCGGCUCACUGGAUCGGUAC